GCCUCUGUAGUUCAGUUGGUUAAAAGCACUGCACCGGAAUAGCAGGGCUGCAGGUUUGAUUCCUGCCAGAGGAC
rnacentral:tRNA from 1 species